rnacentral:rRNA from 1 species
AGAGUUUGAUCCUGGCUCAGGAUGAACGCUGGCGGCGUGCCUAAUACAUGCAAGUCGAACGCACAGCGAAAGGUGCUUGCACCUUUCAAGUGAGUGGCGAACGGGUGAGUAACACGUGGACAACCUGCCUCAAGGCUGGGGAUAACAUUUGGAAACAGAUGCUAAUACCGAAUGAAACUUAGUGUCGCAUGAUACGAAGUUAAAAGGCGCUUUGGCGUCACCUAGAGAUGGAUCCGCGGUGCAUUAGUUAGUUGGUGGGGUAAAGGCCUACCAAGACAAUGAUGCAUAGCCGAGUUGAGAGACUGAUCGGCCACAUUGGGACUGAGACACGGCCCAAACUCCUACGGGAGGCUGCAGUAGGGAAUCUUCCACAAUGGGCGAAAGCCUGAUGGAGCAACGCCGCGUGUGUGAUGAAGGCUUUCGGGUCGUAAAGCACUGUUGUAUGGGAAGAACAGCUAGAAUAGGGAAUGAUUUUAGUUUGACGGUACCAUACCAGAAAGGGACGGCUAAAUACGUGCCAGCAGCCGCGGUAAUACGUAUGUCCCGAGCGUUAUCCGGAUUUAUUGGGCGUAAAGCGAGCGCAGACGGUUGAUUAAGUCUGAUGUGAAAGCCCGGAGCUCAACUCCGGAAUGGCAUUGGAAACUGGUUAACUUGAGUGCAGUAGAGGUAAGUGGAACUCCAUGUGUAGCGGUGGAAUGCGUAGAUAUAUGGAAGAACACCAGUGGCGAAGGCGGCCUACUGGACUGUAACUGAC